rnacentral:RNase_P_RNA from 2 species
CGCUCUCCAUCCGCUGCGUUCUCUGCCACAUAUAACGACUUGCUCCUGUUUCUCCAACAGUCGAGCAGUCGUUUUCUUUCUUGCAGAUGAGAAAUUCGGAGUAAUCUUCAAACUUUGCACCUCUGCCUUCGAAUCACUCUGUGAUGUCGAGGUACAUGGUACUGCCCGCGAGGGCCCGGCACGAUUCCCCCUGUGCUCGCAAUCUGGCAUCAGAAAUAUACAGGGCCUCAAGGCCGGCAUCCGCGUGGUGUUUGUGUCUCGAGGGAUUCCCUUUGGAAGAGCCGUUGCGAAGAUGGUCUGGAGGGCACGCAAGUGUCCUUCCUUACUUUAGUGCAAUCGCAGCGGAAACCUAUCGAUUUCCUCUUGAGGGAUGAUAGGGUUUCAAUUCGAUUCCGAUUACUCUGGAGAGCG